CUGACAUGGUGCUUCUAGUCACUGCGUAAGAGAGAUAUGUUCUGCAAUCGUUCUGGUCAAAAGAAAGUACGCGCAUUGGGAACCACUAGCAUAAAGGC
rnacentral:lncRNA from 1 species